rnacentral:lncRNA from 1 species
CUGAGUUCCAAUGUCAAGUCUUACAAUCACUGCAUUCUCCUUCACCAAGUACACAGAUUCUCUCUCCACACCAUGGGGCCAGGGCCACUGCCAGGAGAUGGGGAAAAGGUGGCAUUGGCAAUUUUAGGCUGCCUUUACUAAUGUCUUCAAUGCCUCUUUCUGUGAUAUGAAGAUAAAACCAGGAUAUUACACCUUCAUACUUCACAAAAUCUUCUAAGACUAAAUGAAAUGGAGAUUGUAUUUCAUCUCUUCAUCUUAUUUCAACAUCCUCUACAAGCCUAUUUCCCAGCCUGUGGAAUAAGCAAGAUAAGAUGACAGUUCCCUCUGGAGUGUAUCAAAACAUGCCAUAGCAAUAAAAACCAUGAUAGCAGAUAUUAAAGUUUCUGACCCCAGUUGUGGAUUCUCAGCUUCUUAGCCACUGGAGAAUGGCCUUGAGCCUGGCCUCACUAUCUCUCUUUCUCUAGUCAGUGUACAUGGUGUUUCACAAACACUAUGAAACUAAGAAAUCUUUUUUUCAGAAUUGAGUUCUAGGGAUGAUUUAAAUCUUUUAACCCAAUGGCAAAUUCCUCCAACCUGCAGGGUUAAUCAACCAUUCAGUCAAUCAACUUUUGAAGACCUGAAGGAAAAUGUUACAGAGGUCUACCUAAGACACAUGGGGGGUCACAUUAAAGGGAUAAAAAUGUGUUGUUACUUAAAAGAUGUUACAACUGAAUUAUGGAAAUAAAUGAUACAUGUAAUUGGAAUAGAUAUGACCAAAUUAAAAAUAAACUGACUGUUGACAUAGCCCUUUAUUUUCUACUGUGUUUAAGACACUAUGUUAGACAUAAAGAUGAAUUAGGCAAAGAGACUUCCCUCACAGAUCCUUGCACUAGAAAUAAGAAAGGUUAAUGCAUACAUAGAGUAGAAUAGAAUAUAGUAAAUGAUAAGUGCUGUUAAGAAAGAUAUGAAUCAACAUCAAUAGAAGAUCACAAGAGAAAGUGAUUCUUUUCAUGAAGUAAAAUCAAGAAAGACUUCCUAGAGAGAGUAGGAUUUGAACAAGUCUUGAAGAACAGAUAUAAUUUAGUUAUGGAAACUGAAUUAAAAAAAAGACCAUCCACAAAUAGAAAAAAAUGUGGCAUGAAUAAAUUUUAAAAAUGACUUGUACACUAAAGAAUUUUAUAUUAAUUCUGUAGAAUAUAAUUUUCAAAACUAUUUUCUGGAACAUCAGUACCUGUUGAGAUGUAAAUGGAUAUUCCAUUAGAAAUAAAGAUUCUUUAGAAGAAUAAAAUUUGUGAAAGAAUGAGUAUCCUAUAAAUCAAGAGAUCCAUAGGGUUAGUACUCAUGAAGUAGAGACUGUUAUUACAAUUAUGAAUAUUACUACUACGACUACUACCAACACCACCAUUGCUAUUUCUAAAUAGAAACUAAAGCCAUUGGAAUGUAAGGAUGAGACGUUAUGGGCUUAAGAGUGAGCAAGUAGCCUGAAUGGCGCUCUGCCUUGUAAAUGUAAUCAGCUAUGUUUUUGAAUGAGAACAGAAGAGACAGGGUGACUUUGCUAAAACAGAGGCCAGAUUUUGUCGCUUUUCUAAUUAUUACUUUGCACUGGUUUCUUGUCUCACUUACAGAAAAAGCCAUGAUUCUCAUUCUGGUCUUUUAAGGCCUUCUGUCUAGUCUCUACUAUCUCUCCAUCAUUAUCGCCUGUCUCUCUCUCUAAAAUACUGCUUUAGCCACACUACUCUAUUACUACCAAACUUUAGUAUAACUACACAACCCAUUAUGACUUUUUUAUAACUUUCAAUCCCCUUAACUUGUUAAAUUUUUAUUUAUCAAACUUAUCACCCUCUCAUAUCCAAAUAUUUUUCCCUCUGUCACUAAUAGUCAAAUGACUCCUCUAUUAUAAGACUGCUGGAACAAAUUAAUUUAUGUAUUUCCAGUGCCUAUAACAGUGCCAGGCAUUUAAUAGUUACUCAAAUAGGUACAGCAAGAACUCAAUGAAGAGAAAAUUAAAGGUGUGGAAUCAUUUAAAAGUGUUUUGCUAUAGCAAGUGUAAAAGGAAAUAGGACUUUAACUUAGGUGAGAAUAGAGAAGACAUUAAAGAGUAAUAUUUAAACAAAAUCAUUGUUUUAGGCAUGCAUUAUAAG